AAACUUAAAUGAAUUGACGGGGCCCGCACAAGCGGUGGAGCAUGUGGUUUAAUUCGACGCAACGCGAAGAACCUUACCAGGGCUUGACAUCCCCUGACCGCGUAUGAAAGUACGUUUCACCCUCGGGUGACAGGGAGACAGGUGGUGCAUGGUUGUCGUCAGCUCGUGUCGUGAGAUGUUGGGUUAAGUCCCGCAACGAGCGCAACCCUUAUCUUUAAUUGCCAGCAUUCAGUUGGGCACUUUAAAGAGACUGCCGGUGUUAAACCGGAGGAAGGUGGGAUGACGUCAAGUCCUCAUGGCCUUUAUGCUUAGGGCUACACACGUGCUACAAUGGGUGGUACAAAGAGACGCCAACUCGCGAGAGCGUGCUAAUCUCAAAAAGCCAUCCUAAGUUCGGAUUGAAGUCUGCAACUCGACUUCAUGAAGCUGGAAUCGCUAGUAAUCGCGGAUCAGCAUGCCCGCGGUCGAAUACGUUCCCGGGCCUU
rnacentral:rRNA from 1 species